rnacentral:rRNA from 1 species
ACUAGGGGGGCUGCAGUGAGGAAUAUUGGUCAAUGGACGGAAGUCUGAACCAGCCAUGCCGCGUGCAGGAAGACGGCUCUAUGAGUUGUAAACUGCUUUUGUACAAGGGUAAACCUGAAUACGUGUAUUCAGCUGAAAGUACUGUACGAAUAAGGAUCGGCUAACUCCGUGCCAGCAGCCGCGGUAAUACGGAGGAUCCAAGCGUUAUCCGGAUUUAGUGGGUUUAAAGGGUGCUUAGGCGGAUUGAUAAGUUAGAGGUGAAAUGUCCGAGCUUAACUCGGGAACUGCCUCUAAUACUGUUGAUCUAGCGAGUAGAUGCGGUAGGCGGAAUGUAUGGUGUAGCGGUGAAAUGCUUAGAGAUCAUACAGAACACCGAUUGCGAAGGCAGCUUACCAAUCUAUAUCUGACGUUGAGGCACGAAAGCGUGGGGAGCAAACAGGAUUAGAUACCCGUGUAGUC